rnacentral:rRNA from 1 species
AGUGUAUAAUUCAUUUCUUCCCCCCCUAGCCUAGUAAAAUUAAUUAAUAAAUAGACCUGCCCUUAAUAAAUAAAUAAAUAAAUAAUUCCCCCCCCAGGGGGGGAAGGGACUAGGGGGGGAAGGGUAGAGGUCGAGCGCUCUGUCCCUCAAUGAUACUCUGAGUGAAGAGAAAUGUCACCCUCCUUACCUGUUUCCUUGAACUAUAAUUGUUACCGAUAGGACUCGACCUCGACUCUUCAUCUUCGACAGGUAGGAAGGGGAUAUUCAACUAGAAUUCUCCUCUCCCGUUGCGUGUAUAAUAAUUGUGAGAUGAGAACUAUAGUUCCGUAUCAACUAGAAUUCAUUCACUUCCCCAGUAAAAUACCCUAUUUAAUUUAAUUUAAUUCCCUUCCCCCCCUGGGGGGG